GAUGAACGCUGGCGGCGUGCUUAACACAUGCAAGUCGAACGGAAAGGCUCCUGCUUGCAGGGGUACUCGAGUGGCGAACGGGUGAGUAACACGUGGGUGAUCUGCCCUGCACUUCGGGAUAAGCCUGGGAAACUGGGUCUAAUACCGGAUAGGACGAUGGUUUGGAUGCCAUUGUGGAAAGUUUUUUCGGUGUGGGAUGAGCUCGCGGCCUAUCAGCUUGUUGGUGGGGUAAUGGCCUACCAAGGCGUCGACGGGUAGCCGGCCCGGGAGGGUGGACGGCGACAGUGGGGGUGAGAUACGGCCCAGACUCCUACGGGAGGCAGAAGUGGGGAAUAUUGCACAAUGGGCGCAAGCCUGAUGCAGCGACGCCGCGUGGGGGAUGACGGCCUUCGGGUUGUAAACUCCUUUCGCUAGGGACGAAGCGCAAGUGACGGUACCUGGAGAAGAAGCACCGGCUAACUACGUG
rnacentral:rRNA from 1 species